GCACAAGCGGUGGAGCAUGUGGUUUAAUUCGAAGAUACACGAAGAACCUUACCUGGCCUUGACAUGGUAGGAACCCUUAAGAGAUUAGGGGGUGCUAGCUUGCUAGAACCUACACACAGGUGCUGCACGGCUGUCGUCAGCUCGUGUCGUGAGAUGUUGGGUUAAGUCCCGCAACGAGCGCAACCCUCGUCCUUAGUUGCUAACAGUUCGGCUGAGCACUCUAGGGAGACUGCCUUCGCAAGGAGGAGGAAGGUGAGGACGACGUCAAGUCAUCAUGGCCCUUACGGCCAGGGCUACACACGUGCUACAAUGGGGCGUACAGAGAGCUGCGAUACCGCGAAGUGGAGCCAAUCUCUUAAAGCGUCUCUCAGUUCGGAUUGUUCUCUGCAACUCGAGAACAUGAAGCUGGAAUCACUAGUAAUCGCAGAUCAGCUAUGCUGCGGUGAAUACGUUCCCGGGC
rnacentral:rRNA from 1 species